UACGGGGGGGGCAAGCGUUGUUCGGAAUUACUGGGCGUAAAGGGCUCGUAGGUGGCCAACUAAGUCGGACGUGAAAUCCCUCAGCUUAACUGGGGAACUGCGUCCGAUACUGGAUGGCUUGAGUUCGGGAGAGGGAUGCGGAAUUCCAGGUGUAGCGGUGAAAUGCGUAGAUAUCUGGAGGAACACCGGUGGCGAAGGCGGCAUCCUGGACCGACACUGACACUGAGGAGCGAAAGCCAGGGGAGCAAACGGG
rnacentral:rRNA from 1 species